AUGAAGUGCUACCACGAUACCUUUGCACUGCAGCUGUUCCUUCAUCUACUCUAUGUCAAUCCCCACAGGGCUACGGCGGAACUGGAAACCCUAUGCCGUGUCCUAGAGGAGAACAGAAACAAUACUGCUAAGAUGCUGCUUAUGGUCUGCUACAACGAGCUCCCUAGCCAUCACAAGAGCUGCUUGAUGUACCUAUCAAUCUUUCCUCAAGGACACAUAAUCAUGAGAGCUGAUCUGCUGAGGAGAUGGGUCUGUGAAGGACUGAUAACCAAAAGAAGCGCAGGGACGAGCACGCUGCAUGAUCAGGCCGAGCGCAUCUUCGACUCACUGGUCACUCGAGGCUUUAUAUGUCCAGGAGAAAUCAGCUCUGCAGGCAAGAUUAAGAGCUUUACAUUGAAUUCUAUUGUUCAUGACUUCAUCGUUACAGAUGUAGGCUUCGUGGAUACAUCAUCACGGCCUGAGCUAGCUCACCGCUUCUCCAUCAACAGUGGGGUAGCAAUACAGGAAGAACCUCUUUCUGAGUCUGAUUCUGAUCCAUCCGGCCAUGGCAUCUUAACUACAAUUGAGUCUCUGACUGAAUCUGAUCAAUGGCAGUUUCUGAAGGUGCUGGAUCUUCGAGGCUGCAAAGGGCUGCAGAAGAAGCAUCUAAACAGUAUUUGCAAAAUACUGCUGCUCAAGUACUUGAGCCUCAGGAACACAGAUGUCGCUGAACUGCCGAAGGACAUUGAGAAGUUGCAGUGCCUGCAGACAUUGGAUAUCCGGCAGACAGCGGUACGGGUACUUGCCACAAAAUCUGUUGUGCUUCCAAUGCUAAAGCAUCUGCUUGCUGGGAAGAGAGACUCUCCGACUCCAAACAAUGACUCUGAAUCUGAUACUGAUAGGUUUGAAGAGUCGUUUGCGGCGGUGCGCCUUCCCAGGAGCAUCCGAAGAAUGGAAAAACUUGAGGUGCUCUCCCAUGUUGAAGUUGCCCACAGUGAUGAUCUGACUGACGUCGGCAAGCUGCUACGUCUUAGAAAGCUUGGGGUGAUUCUCCAGGGUAAGAAAGAAGAAUUGGAACUUCUGUUCCAGCAGAUCGAAAAAUUGAAGGGUUGCCUCCGCUCCCUGUCAAUCCAGAUGGACCAGCACACAAAAAGCGAGGGCGAAUUGCCCUCACCUCCAAAAAAUCUUCAGAGCCUGAACAUCCGCAGCAUCACAGGUGGGCUUUACCUGUGGAUUGCAGGGCAUGACCAACUCACCAAGGUAACACUGAGCGAGACCGGCCUUGGGGAAGAGGCUCUACGCAUCCUUGGCCAGCUUAGGAUCCUGCGCUGCCUCAGGCUUCGACGCAAGUCUUACGUCGAGAGCCAACUCAAAUUCAAAAAAGAAGAAUUCAAGAGCCUCAAGUCUCUAGUUGUCGAGGGCAGUGACAUCACCAGCAUCACCUUUGAGACUGGGGCAGCUCCUAAGAUGGAGAUGAUUUUCUGGUCUUUUGUCUCCAUGGAAAUUCCUUCUGGACUUAAUCGCCUACCAAGUUGA
rnacentral:rRNA from 1 species